UACGUAGGGCGCAAGCGUUGUCCGGAAUUAUUGGGCGUAAAGAGCUCGUAGGCGGUUUGUCGCGUCGUCUGUGAAAACCCACGGCUCAACUGUGGGCUUGCAGUCGAUACGGGCAGGCUAGAGUUCGGUAGGGGAGACUGGAAUUCCUGGUGUAGCGGUGAAAUGCGCAGAUAUCAGGAGGAACACCGGUGGCGAAGGCGGGUCUCUGGGCCGAUACUGACGCUGAGGAGCGAAAGCGUGGGGAGCGAACAGG
rnacentral:rRNA from 1 species